AAUUAAAAUUGAAACAGAAUGAUGUAGGCAAGCAUGCUAGAGAUGGAUGCGGCUCUAAGCUAAAUUGCAAGUGGAUCUGUGAUCCAUUUGACAUGCAUUUUAUCAGCUGCCCUUGUUCUUCAGUGUUUUUUCUUGGCAGAUUUGCUUGCUGCUCACAGUGGAAAUAGACCAGACAGAAAAGCUAUUGCGGAAACCCCUACGUGUCCUGUGUGAAGAGCCAAAUCAGUUUCUAUGGGAAAACAAGAACUUCUUUACAAAAAGAUACGGGAUGAUGGAGGGGGAUACUGAAAAUUUUACACAUUCUAAUUGUAAGGCAAGUUAUGUAGAACCCAGGACCACUGCGGGGAAAACAUUUGAUCUGCGUCCAAAUCUCUCUGCAAUCUAGUCAAAAGGAGUUGAGAUGUUGUAGUGGCCAAAGUGGCCACCUUGCCAUAGAGCCAUGAUACACAUCCAAUCAUUUGGGUCUAAUCAUCCAGCAGCUGCCAGUUGACUAAAGUUCAGUAGAAAACUUUGCAUCGAGAAAAAGAAACAACUCGACAGCAGAACUGUUAGACUUGUCAAACCACUUCGUUAUGAAUAUUUUUCUAAUCCUAAAGUGAUCUCUGAAAGCAUCCUCCAAAUGAUAGACAAAAUUGUCUUUGAUGGCCAAAUCCAAAUGCUGGCUAAUCAACGUGGCAGCUUCCAAAGAUCCCAAAAAUUGGUCAGCAAUGUUGUCAUACAAUAAGACCAUUUGCCAGGUACACGCUAAAAAAAUUCCUCUUUUAAAUUAACGGUAUUUUAGUGGCAGCAAGGACGCCAGGAAUUUACCGUUAUUUUACGGUAUAAUACCGUAAAUGUUUUUACACUAUGUUACCGUAAAAUGGAUUACUGUAUGUUACCGUAAACUUGAACCAAUUUUACUGUGAAUUAACUGCAAUUUACUGGCAGUCGACGCUAGUAACUUACUGUUUUAUUUACAGUGCCCUACCGUAAUAUACGGUAUGUUGUUGUAUAUUGGAUUACAGUUUGUUACCAUACGAUUACUGUUUUUGUGUUAUAAAUACCAGAAUGUUACAGUUUACUUAUAACCGUAUACUUUUGCAUUUAAUUCCCCACAAAUUAAAGAAAGACAACCAAACUCAUUUCGUUCAUAGUGGUUGGAGUUUAUUAGAUGCCUUUAAGACAAAAAUGUUAGAUAUUUGUAACCAAGAACAAAACAUAAAAUAUGCCGCAUGUAUACAAUAAUAAAAAAAUGAAUCAUAAAAUUAUUAGGAACAACGUAACCUAACUGCAUCAAUACGCUAUGGAACACUUUCAAUUGACCGCAGCAAACGGCUGGCGUCCUUAAUCAAGUGCCUCUGGAAAACAAACCAAAUAAAAUAUUUAGAAACACUGUCAUUGGUAAAAUAUUAAAAUUACAAAGAUGAGGAAGACAACAAUAAGGAAAGAGAAUAUUAAUCAUGCUAGGCAAAUAACACUUACCAAUGUUACUUGGAGAGACGAGGCAAUGAGGAACUCCUCCGAUGUUGAACUGACAGGUGUUCUGGAUGAACUGAGAUGACGCGUCUGACAUCACGUUCACGAGCAGUCGGUCACGAUUAAGACUCAAAUGACUUUUAGGCAAUGAACGCAUCGAAUUAAUACAAACAUUUAUAAUCCUUACAUUCCGGCCACUGAAACGACGGCGAAGGCCGCGCAUGGGCUAGGGAAGAUGUGCUGUGCAGUGCAAGGUCAUUGGUUCGAAUCCUGGUUGCUCCCUGUGUCAAGUCAAAGUGUCCCUGAGCAAGACACCUAACCCCCAAUUACUCCACAUAAAAUUAUGUCAAACCGUUUUGGAUAAAAGUGACAGCUGCAUGUACAGUAAUGUCCUGUAAGUCAAAGUCAUCAUCGUAUCUCAUGAGAUACGAGAUCUCAUUAUGAUGACUUACAGGACCUGUUUUUCAGGGGCUGACAUGGGCUUCCAUACAUUAACCUACAACAGAUGUACAUGGAUUGUGAUUCACUGCACUUGUAUGUGUAUUUCCACCACUUCAUAAAAUAUAUUUAACAUGCAAUUGAAUUACGGUAGUCUGCUAUUAUUGUAAAUUGACAGUUGUUCUGUUUGUUCAUCACAUUGGCUGUUAAUUUACAAGCAAGGGAUUGAAAUUUAACUGUGUUAGUUAUUAUGACAUACUGUAAGAUACCGUUAGAAAUGCACCGUAAAUUUACACCAAUUUGUUACAGUGUAUGAAAAGAACAAGCCUAAUACUAUAACAUUAAAGUGUCAUAUGAGACAAUAUUCUGAGGUUCUCGGUUUCCAGAGCAGAAAAAAAUCCAAAUCUCAUGGAUCUCAUAGUCAUGGAUUUAGUGUUCAGUAAAUGUGAUUCUGACAGGAUACUUGAAUAUAUGACAGAUCCAUGCCAUAUAAAGCAUUAUCAUAAGGAGAAGGUUUAAUAGUUAUUCAUUGUAUGAGGAAAGACAUUGUAAUAUGUCUUAUUGACCAGUGGGUCUGCUGAAGAAACUGUGUAUCCAUGCAUAUAAUGCAGCGGUUUUCUGUAUAAUGGAGAGCAGAAGUUGAUAUUUAAGUAAGUACCAAAAGUAGACUGAAUCCCUAGAGCUAAUGAUAGCGUGGCUAAACACAGUACAAGUGCAUUCCUAGCAAUCUAAGGCUCUACUAAAAAGGCUAACAGUAGCUCCUUGAUGCAGGAAAGCUCCAGAAAAUAAGUUCUAUCAGUACGGAGUUGUAAGGCAUCAAGGUUGUUGGCCCCAGUUUUGAAGCUUGAAGCUUAUCAGUGCAACCAGUCAGUUAUGUUGCCGGUUAUGAGUCCUAAUUUUACUCAAUUAUGUGGUGUUUUUUGUUGAUAGUUAUUGAGUGUGUGUGUGUGUGUGUGUUUAUAGGUCAUUCGCCCACUGGCCAUUCCUCCGGGACUCCCUGAGGCCAUGGUGUGGGUAAUUGGGCUUUAUGAGAGAGGGUUAACCCACCUUAGUGGCUGCAAGUGAGCAAGACAGCCCACUGCUGCACCUCGCUUUUGAUGCCUAUCCAGCUUUCUCUCCCCACUACCUGAACGUCCACCAAUUGGGACAGUGCAAGGGCCUGACAUUAUGUCUGCGGGUUAUCAUUAUAUAUAUAUUUUUUCUUUUACUUGAUCGAUUGGCUCUGGUCUGCAGUGGCGCUUCUAGGGGUAACUGUCACUGCUAGUUAGGGAUUGACCAGCGGGUGUUAUUAAGAGCAAGAGCGCCUGCUUUUGGGAGGCUUUGUUGUGGGGAGGGGCGGUGAAGAAGCCAAGCCUUUUUCUUUUAGCCUCCUGGUCUUAGUUGACCUUUCACUUAGGCAGCAGCUGGAGCUGAGAGGUAUUUAAUUGAAUGGAGUCUUCAGAUGUAUUGGAGGGAGCAAAGAAGAUGCCGCCUUCUCAAGACAGAGCAGGAGUGGGGAGACAGAGAUGGAAAGCACGGGAGGGAGAGUUUGCUUGACCUUCAAAGCCUAAUUGAUAGGCUUUUCAUAGACCUUGUUUGAGAUGUGCGUGGUCCCUGUUGUUCUGCAGACCGUUAGAAAUCCUGCAGAAGUACAAAGUCAACCGCAGGUAGGGAGCCCCCAGUGGCCUGCUGCAAUCAAUAGCCGCUGGCUCGCCUAACGAGAGCUGCAGUCACUCUUCGGCUUUCACAGGUCCCAUUAACAGGCAGUGCCCAGCCUAAUUUCACAGCCUACACUCAUUAAUGUAGAGAAAUACAGGGCAGAAGCCAGGUGAAACCACCCGGGGAAUAACUGAUCAUCACACCUGGUAAAAUAAGUCAAAAUAAAUCAUCAAAAUGAUGCAUUUUGGUGGUGGAGGAAGUUGAGUUAACGGGGGUGGAAUCAAAACAAAAGCCCUCAUGUGGUGCUCCCGCAUUGCUCCUGCCCAGUAUUUCUCACUAGAUGUCUUACUUUCUCCAUAUCGGUUUAUUUUGGCUUCCCUGUAUUUCGACGAAAAACAUUGCCACACAAGAGGCCGAAACAGAUUGAUGGCAAUUCAAUCUUAACCCGGAUGCGCGAAGUAAACGGCUGCCAAUUAAUGCUCGUUGGUGUUAGGGAAAGCUCCGGCCUUAUUGUUGUUAAAAAGUGAUUCUAUUGGAUCUUCAUUCGUACAUCACUCUCACACUGCAGAGAUAUGCAGUUCUAGCAAAGGCAGCCGGCCUUGGAUACAAAGAAAAAGAUUUGAGGGAUCAUGUUCGGAGAUUAACCGAUAAGCAGCUAAUUUUAUGUACUUAAAAGGAGCAAACGAUCCUGUAUAGCCCUCCUUCUGGAAUUCCUCCAGCCAAGAGGAUGAAAGCAAGGAGCGGAACCCAUUUCUGAGGCUGUUUCGACCAUUAAUGCUGAUCUCCAAAAUUAAAGAUUUAUACCAACUGAUAGAGCUCAGUAGCAGCACAUACACACACAUUGGAUCAAGAAGGAUGGGGAGGCGGGAGUUGUCCUUAAAGGCAUUCUUUAAAGUAUUUGAAUGGGAAAAGAGAGUGGGUGGGGGAACACAAUCAUGUAGCACCACUUUUCGCUAAUUGGAAUCUUUGAAUAAGUUAGUAGUGAAAGAUGUUUAAUUUGGAAAAUGAGUGAUCUUGCCGAUGUUUGGAUGGGAAAUUAGUGGCGAUAGUACUCAGGCAGGAUCUAAAGCUGUUUUUUUUCUUUUUUUUUACCAUCAAAAUACUGAUUGAUUUCACUGAAAUACUGAGAAGUUGCACACAACUUCUCAGCUAAAUGAUUUGGAGCAUGUUGGUUAGUUUUUGAAUACAUAACUACUAUACAUAGCUAUUUUCAAUUCCUUGUUUUGCUUUUCUGCUAUUACAUUUUGAUAAACAUAUCUGCAUUUAAAUUCCUUCAGGAUUUUAUAUCAGAAGUGUAGUGUCCAUUUGCAGUCUGAGUAGUUAGCAAUCAGCAUAUAAUCAGUUGAUGUAGAGAAGAGACAUUGACUAAAUGCAGUAUUGAGCUAAUUGUCUAUUAAAAAUGUGGCCCUAAUCUCUAUUAACAGAUAAGUAAGUAAGUCUUUAAGUAAGAUUUCUUUUGGCUAUAUCUGAACCACCGGAGUAUUGGUUGUUUGACCUGGAGGUAAAUCGUAGUCACACCGUCGUCUGAUGAAUUUAAAAACAGCGGUUAUAUAUUUUCAGCGAGUACAAGACCAAUUAUUUUCUUAAUUGUUUGUUUGUAAGGUGAGAGAGGGAAAAACCAAUCUAAUUAAAAGCUGCAAGCAGCGUUGGUUGGACAGGUCCUUGCUACUCCGCAUGUUGGGGCACCGGCCGGACGGCUAAAAACGCAGACAAGAACUCCUGCGGCCGUCGGACAAAGCGUCCAAGAGUCAGUUGUCGUUAACCAUAAGGAUUGACACCAGGAAGGCCGCUUUGCAAACUUCAUCUUUAAAAUCCAACUUCCUUCAAAAUCAAAUUCACGAGACUACUUCAGGUCAAUUUCAGAUCAGAUUUAAAAGGAUACUAUCAAUAGUUGUCAUGCCCAGGAAACGGCGUUAGUAAAACUGUCCUGUGAUUUCCUGUUUUAUUUUGAAAAUUAACCUCCCUUUCGUCUCAGGCAACUUGCCCCUUCCUCCUGUGUCCUGGUCUGAUUGUCUGCCCUGCCCCUGAUUGUUUCCACCUGUGCGCCUACCUUGUGUGUAUAUAUUGUCUGCGUUUCCAUUUGUCCUGUGUCAUUCCAAAAUUAAAGCCUCUGAAAAUACCGUACAUGAGCCAAUAUCUCAAUCACAAGACUACAUCUGGGGCCUGUUUCAGAAAGGAGGUUAAGUGAAAACUCUGAGUAUGUUAACCCUGAAAUGAGGGAAACUCUGAGUUUUCUGUUUCAGAAUGGGAGGUAUGUUAAACCUGAGAAAGCAGAGUAAGUCAAGCCUGUUUCAGAAAGAGAGGUAACUUAUACUCAGAGUCAGUUACCAUGGCAACUUACUCUGUGAACCUAACCUGGUCGGGAGCAGGU
ensembl:lncRNA